CAGUCGCCGCGGUAACACGUGGGUGGCAAGCGUUGUCCGGAAUUAUUGGGCGCAAAGGGCUCGCAGGCGGUUUCUUAAGUCUGAUGUGAAAGCCCCCGGCUUAACCGGGGAGGGUCAUUGGAAACUGGGAGACUUAGAGUGCAGAAGAGGAGAGUGGAAUUCCAUGUGUAGCGGUGAAAUGCGUAGAUAUAUGGAGGAACACCAGUGGCGAAGGCGACUCUCUGGUCUGUAACUGACGCUGAGGCGCGAAAGCGUGGGGAGCAAACAGGAUUAGAUACCCCCGUAGUCCCUGUCUCUUAUU
rnacentral:rRNA from 1 species